AGUGGAUGGCCUUCUUUGAAAACUAUUGCUACUGAUGACAGAAUUUGAGGAAUAGUAGGAACAGCCAUCACUUCGUUUGGAAAUGAGAUCUCUGCUAAAGACAUGAAGGAAUUACCUGGACGUUGAGAUCUUCUUGAUCAAUUUGGCACAUCAUCUAGGGAUAUGGUGAUAUAUGCUGACCCCUUAAACUGGGUCAUAAGAUAGUCAAGCAACUAAAUUGGGAUCAAACCAGAACUUCAAAAACACAAUUUAUGCAAUUGCCAAAU
rnacentral:lncRNA from 12 species